rnacentral:rRNA from 1 species
AGAGUUUGAUCCUGGCUCAGGAUGAACCUUGGCGGUGUGCCUAAUACAUGCAAGUCGAACGGUGAUUAUUUUGUAGUAAUACAAAUUAAUUAUAGUGGCGAACGGGUGAGUAACGCGUUGGUGAUCUGCCUCGAAGUGUGGAAUAACGUUCCGAAGGAACGCUAAUACCGCAUGUGCUCUCAGUUUUUAGAAAGUUGAGAGUAAAGGAUUUAUUCGCUUCGAGAGGAGCCUGCGUCCCAUCAGCUAGUUGGUAGGGUAAUAGCCUACCAAGGCAAUGACGGGUAGGGGACCUGAGAGGGUGGCCCCCCACAAUGGAACUGAAACACGGUCCAUACACCUACGGGUGGCAGCAGUAGGGAAUAUUAGAAAUGGACGAAAGUCUGAUCUAGCGACACCGCGUGUGCGAAGAAGGCCUUCGGGUUGUAAAGCACUUUUUGGAAGGAAUAGGAAGGAAGGUACUUCCAGAAUAAGUCUCGGCUAACUACGUGCCAGCAGCCGCGGUAACACGUAGGAGGCAAACGUUAUCCGGAUUUAUUGGGCGUAAAGCGCGUGUAGGUGGUUCUGUAAGUAGGGCGUGAAAGCUCCUGGCUCAACCGGGAGAGGCCGUUUUAUACUGCAGAGCUAGAGGAUGGUAGAGGGAGGUGGAAUUCCAGGUGUAGCGGUGGAAUGCGCAGAUAUCUGGAGGAACACCAGUGGCGAAGGCGGCCUCCUGGACCAUUCCUGACACUCAGACGCGAAAGCUAGGGUAGCAAACGGGAUUAGAGACCCCGGUAGUCCUAGCCCUAAACGAUGUAGACUAGACGUCGGUGGUGUAAAAACUGUCGGUGUCCAAGCUAACGCGAUAAGUCUACCGCCUGAGGACUACGGCCGCAAGGUUAAAACUCAAAGGAAUUGACGGGUCCCCGCACAAGCAGCGGAGCGUGUGGUUUAAUUCGUUGCUACACGAAGAACCUUACCUGGGUUUGACAUAGCAGUGGUAGGGAAGAGAAAUCGGACCGACCCUUCGGGGAGCUGUUACAGGUGUUGCAUGCCUGUCGUCAGCUCGUGUCGUGAGAUGUUCGGUUAAGUCCGCUAACGAGCGCAACCCGCGUUGUGUGUUACAAGUGUCACACAGUACCGCCGGUAUUAAGUCGGAGGAAGGUGCGGAUGACGUCAAGUCAGCAUGACCUUUAUAUCCAGGGCUACACACACGCUACAAUGGUCAGAACAAUAGGUUGCCAAGCCGCAAGGCGGAGCCAAUCCUCCAAAUCUGGCCUCAGUUCAGAUUGCAGGCUGCAACUCGCCUGCAUGAAGUCGGAGUUGCUAGUAACCGCAGGUCAGCAUACUGCGGUGAAUACGUUCCCGGGGAUUGCACACACCGCCCGUCA